rnacentral:rRNA from 1 species
CCUACGGGAGGCAGCAGUGAGGAAUAUUGGUCAAUGGACGAGAGUCUGAACCAGCCAAGUAGCGUGAAGGAUGACUGCCCUAUGGGUUGUAAACUUCUUUUAUAUAGGAAUAAAACAGGGUAUGCAUACCCUCUUGUAUGUACCAUAUGAAUAAGGAUCGGCUAACUCCGUGCCAGCAGCCGCGGUAAUACGGAGGAUCCGAGCGUUAUCCGGAUUUAUUGGGUUUAAAGGGAGCGUAGGUGGGUUGUUAAGUCAGUUGUAAAAGUUUGCGGCUCAACCGUAAAAUUGCAGUUGAAACUGGCAGUCUUGAGUACAGUAGAGGUGGGCGGAAGUCGUGGUGUAGCGGUGAAAUGCUUAGAUAUCACGAAGAACUCCGAUUGCGAAGGCAGCUCACUGGACUGCAACUGACAUUGAUGCUCGAAAGUGUGGGUAUCAAACAGGAUUAGAUACCCUUGUAGUC